rnacentral:rRNA from 1 species
AGAGUUUGAUCCUGGCUCAGGACGAACGCUGGCGGCGUGCCUAACACAUGCAAGUCGAACGAAGUCUUCGGACUUAGUGGCGGACGGGUGAGUAACGCGUGAGAACCUGCCUCGAGGAGGGGGAUAACAGCGGGAAACUGCUGCUAAUACCCCAUAUGCCGAAAGGUGAAAAGAAAUUUGCCUUGAGAGGGGCUCGCGUCCGAUUAGCUAGUUGGUGAGGUAAGAGCUUACCAAGGCGACGAUCGGUAGCUGGUCUGAGAGGAUGAGCAGCCACACUGGGACUGAGACACGGCCCAGACUCCUACGGGAGGCAGCAGUAGGGAAUUUUCCGCAAUGGGCGAAAGCCUGACGGAGCAACGCCGCGUGGGGGAAGAAGGCCUUUGGGUUGUAAACUCCUUUUCUCAGGGAAGAAGAACUGACGGUACCUGAGGAAUCAGCCUCGGCUAACUCCGUGCCAGCAGCCGCGGUAAUACGGAGGAGGCAAGCGUUAUCCGGAAUUAUUGGGCGUAAAGCGUUCGUAGGCGGCGUUUCAAGUCUGCUGUCAAAGGCCGAGGCUCAACUUCGGAAAGGCAGUGGAAACUGAAAAGCUAGAGGUCGGUAGGGGCAGAGGGAAUUCCCAGUGUAGCGGUGAAAUGCGUAGAUAUUGGGAAGAACACCGGUGGCGAAAGCGCUCUGCUGGGCCGAACCUGACGCUGAGGGACGAAAGCUAGGGGAGCGAAUGGGAUUAGAUACCCCAGUAGUCCUAGCCGUAAACGAUGGAGACUAGGUGUUGCCUGUAUCGACCCGGGCAGUGCCGAAGCCAACGCGUUAAGUCUCCCGCCUGGGGAGUACGCACGCAAGUGUGAAACUCAAAGGAAUUGACGGGGGGCCCGCACAAGCGGUGGAGUAUGUGGUUUAAUUCGAUGCAACGCGAAGAACCUUACCAGGGCUUGACAUCCCCGCGAAUCUCCGCCGAAAGUUGAGAGUGCCUACGGGGAACGCGGAAGACAGGUGGUUGCAUGGGUGGCCGUCAGCUCCUUGUCCUGGAGAUGUUGGGGUUAAGUCCCCGCAACGAAGCGCAACCCUUCGUCCUUAAGUUGCCAUCCUUUAGGUGGGGGCA